rnacentral:rRNA from 1 species
CCUACGGGUGGCAGCAGUGGGGAAUAUUGCACAAUGGGCGAAAGCCUGAUGCAGCAACGCCGCGUGAGCGAUGACGGCCUUAGGGUCGUAAAGCUCUGUCCUCAAGGAAGCUAAUGACGGUACUUGAGGAGGAAGCCCCGGCUAAGUACGUGCCAGCAGCCGCGGUAAUACGUAGGGGGCUAGCGUAAUCCGGAAUUACCGGGCGUAAAGGGUGUGUAGGUGGUUUCUUAAGUCGGCGGUGAAAGGCUAGGGCUAAACCGUAGUAAGCCUUUGACACUGGGGAACUUGAGUUCAGGAGAGGUGAGUGGAAUUCGUGGUGUAGCGGUGAAAUGCGUAGAUAUUAGGAAGAACACCAGUUGCGAAGGCGGCUCGCUGGACUGUAACUGACACUGAGGCACGAAAGCGUGGGGAGCAAACAGGAUUAGAUACCCGGGUAGUC